UACGUAGGGUGCGAGCGUUGUCCGGAAUUAUUGGGCGUAAAGAGCUCGUAGGCGGUGUGUCGCGUCGGCCGUGAAAACCUGUGGCUUAACUGCGGGCUUGCGGUCGAUACGGGCAUCACUGGAGUUCGGCAGGGGAGACUGGAAUUCCUGGUGUAGCGGUGAAAUGCGCAGAUAUCAGGAGGAACACCAAUAGCGAAGGCAGCUCGCUGGGACGGUACUGACGCUAAGGCGCGAAAGCGUGGGGAGCGAACAGG
rnacentral:rRNA from 1 species